AUACCUUUCAAAUAUCUCGAUUUCUCUUUCCUUUUCCCGCGCUAUAUCAAAACACUCCCUGUAAACGUAGAAGCUGUUUCAUGUAUACUGCCUUUCUAUAACCACAGCAGGGCAAUACAACGAAAAGAAAAGAUGAAAAAUAAAGAAUAAAUCAAUAUGUGCAAUUUAUAGAAGUAGUGUCUCAUUAAUAAUAGAUUUAGUAAGUUAUUAUACACAUUUAUACUAAGGAUCAUCACAAACACACCCGCCCCUACACGUCAACCGGGAGGACCAGUUGUGUUGUUGUUGUUGGUGGUGGUGGUGGUGUGUCCUAUCUUGCCAUACACCCAUACACACCCACACACACCCAUACACAGCCAUACAUACUUAAAAACACACUUAUAUACCUCAAACACUCGCAAACACAGCCAUACAUACACUCAUAUACCUCAAACACAGCCAUACAUACACUUAUAUACCUCAAACACUCGUAAACACAGCCAAACACACCACAUACCCAUUUAGUGUUAGUCCUCAGUCUUGCCACACACACACACAGACAAACAUGCCCCCAAACACUCGUAAACACACUCAAACACCAAAUAACACACACAGACAUAAGUGUGCAGUGUUUAGGAGCACCAAGCAGUGAGUGAGACAGCAGUACACGGUGUCAGCGUACACCACAACCCUCCACAGCGCCCUCCGUUCAUGUGUGAGGUACGUUUGAGGCCGUUCACUUAUUUCUUGGGUUAGGUUUACAAGCUCAGGCGUGUAGAUGGAAGCAACAGAAAGACUAAAAAAGGGAAACAGAGGAGGAGGAAUGAGAAAGGGAAGCGGAAGAAGAGGAGGAGUCAAGCCACAACAUUUAGGGGUCAUGUUGCUUGUGUGGCCAGUGUGAAUGUGACCGGGGGCUUGGCAGGGAUGACUGGGGGCUUGGGAAGGGUGGCAGGGGGGGCGAGGUACAGCCAAUACCCCCCGGCAUACAUGCCCUCAAAACUGCAGGAGAUGGAGGACAGCGGGGAGAUGAAGAAAUUUGAGUAGCGGGCGGUCCGAGCGGCCCACAGCACCCACACCACCUCCGUACUCCACCACCCGCUUGUCAGGUUGUUUCAAGAUAUAGAGGGAGAGAGAACAGCCAAGGAGGAGGAAGAAGAGGAACAGG